CUCUGACAUUCACAUGUUGUUGUAUUUAUGUAGGAUAAUUAGACCAGCUCUCUGAGGCUGCCCAAUGGAGCUACCAUUUCCACAUGGAAACUGCCACAUCCCAGAAGCAGCGGCUAGACUUAGCGGUCCAGCAACAGCUGGCGCUGUGAGCAGAACCAAUCAGUGGGAGUCACCACUCGGAGCUUCCUGCGGCAGCCGGAAGUUUAGUUCUGGGAAAUUUCUGGGCAUUUUCCUGGAGACCUGCCACCGCCGGAGUAAGAAUGGAAGUUGGGAGCGGACCUUCCCACU